GAGCACGUAGGUGGGUUUGUAAGUCAGAUGUGAAAGCCUUCUGUUCAACGGAAGAAUUGCAUCUGAAACUGCGAGUCUUGAGUGUAGGAGGGGAGAAUGGAACUUCUGGUGGAGCGGUGAAAUGCGUAGAUAUCAGAAGGAACGCCGGCGGCGAAAGCGAUUCUCUGGCCUAUUACUGACACUCAGUGUGCGAAAGCUAGGGGAGCAAACGGGAUUAGAUACCCCGGUAGUCCUAGCCGUAAACGAUGGGCACUAAGUAGAGGGAAUUACCGAUAUUCUCUCUGCCGUAGCUAACGCAUUAAGUGCCCCGCCUGGGGAGUACGGCCGCAAGGCUAAAACUCAAAAGAAUUGACGGGGGCUCGCACAAGCGGUGGAGCAUGUGGCUUAAUUCGAUGCAACGCGAAAAACCUUACCGGGGCUUGACAUGGUAGAAGUAGGAACCCGAAAGGGUAACGAACGGUAUCCAGUCCGUAGCUAUUACAGGUGUUGCAUGGCUGUCGUCAGCUCGUGUCGUGAGACGUUGGGUUAAGUCCCCUAACGAGCGAAACCCUUGUUUUUAGUUGCCAGCGGGUUAUGCCGGGCACUCUAGAAAGACUGCCGUCGUCAAGACGGAGGAAGGUGGGGACGACGUCAAGUCAUCAUGGCCCUUAUGCCCCGGGCUGCACACGUGCUACAAUGGUCGGUACAAACGGAAGCGAAGCCGAGAGGUGAAGCGAAUCC
rnacentral:rRNA from 2 species